GGCCUCCUAGCUCGGCUGGUAGAGCGUGUGUUGUACGAAAGCACAGGCGGCGUCCAUGCGUGGGUUCAAAUCCCACCGAGGCUA
rnacentral:tRNA from 1 species